rnacentral:lncRNA from 1 species
GAGUGUUUAGUUUCUGGAUGUUAUUAUACUUUGGUAAAAUAUGGUUAUAUUUUAAAGUAUAAUUCUUGGUCAGAUUGUUUUAUCCCUUUGUAUUUAUAGGAUGUAUAUCUUUUAUGAAUUGAUAUACUUAGCUCACUAUAAACAAUGCUCUGAUACCAAUCUUUCACACCCCAAAACCGGAACGGCGGAAACGUUCUGGGGUGGAUGGCGUCAUGUCAAGUACCACAACACAUGCAUUAUAGUAAUCAAAGUACAACAAAACAUUGCAUUAAUAGUAAUAGUUUUACAUGGUUACAUUACAAUACAUCGAAGUAAUACAAGUAAAUAUAAGUAAGUAUGGCAUGGCACUAAGCUAUCUUCAUCAACUGCUCCGGGGAUGUACCUGUCUAAUGCUAACCUGAGAAUACAAGUUAUUUGAAAAGCGAGUAUCAGCAUUUUUACAAAUGCUGGUGAGUUCAUAAGCAUUUAGUGACGUUUUUAUUCAAAUAACUUUAAUAAAAGUAGUAGUUUAAGAGAUUACAGUGUAUUAGAGUUCUUUCCAGAAAAUCCUAUAUUUUCUUUAAAAAAAUCAGCCUUCUACCAAGACUGGUCAGUGUUAUGUGGUAAAAAGUAGUUUUCCCUUAAUUGUUAUCAUUAUCAAAAUACUAAAUUUGAUUAUUAAAGAAAACGAGAGACAACAGGGAAAUAACAUAUGCCUCAGCAGUGAGGACUGUUGACUAAGGAAAAAGAAUCAUAGACUCCAGGAGAGUAUCGAACGAACGACACGCAUGGCUCAGUCUAACAGAAAGAGACACAGACCCUAGGCGGUACCAAAUGAAAGGUACAACUAGUAAGGUCUAAUACAGUGAACACAGACCCCAGACAGUACCAACUGAAUGAUACGUCUAGCAAGGUCUAAAACAGUGAAUACAGUGGAUACAGACCCCAGACAGCACCAAAUGAAUGAUGCGUCUAGUAAGGUCUAAAACAGAGAAU